UACAGAGGUCUCAAGCGUUGUUCGGAUUCAUUGGGCGUAAAGGGUGCGUAGGCGGCGCGGCUAAGUCAGGUGUGAAAUCUCGGGGCUUAACUCCGAAACUGCAUUCGAUACUGCCGUGCUUGAGGACUGGAGAGGAGACUGGAAUUUACGGUGUAGCGGUGAAAUGCGUAGAUAUCGUAAGGAAGACCAGUGGCGAAGGC
rnacentral:rRNA from 1 species